CAAUAGCGUAUAUUUAAGUUGUUGCAGUUAAAAAGCUCGUAGUUGGAUUUCGGAUGGGACUUGCCGGUCCGUCGUUUCGAUGUGCACUGGCCAGUCCUAUCUUGUUGUCGGGGACUAGCUCCUGGGCUUCACUGUCCGGGACUAGGAGCUGACGAGGUUACUUUGAGUAAAUUAGAGUGUUCAAAGCAAGCCUACGCUCUGAAUACAUUAGCAUGGAAUAACACGAUAGGGCUCUGGCUUAUCUUGUUGGUCUGUGAGACCAGAGUAAUGAUUAAGAGGGACAGUCGGGGGCAUUCGUAUUUCAUUGUCAGAGGUGAAAUUCUUGGAUUUAUGAAAGACGAACUUCUGCGAAAGCAUUUGUCAAGGAUGUUUUCAUUAA
rnacentral:rRNA from 1 species